GACGAACGCUGGCGGCGUGCCUAAUACAUGCAAGUCGAGCGGACGGAUGGGAGCUUGCUCCCAGACCGUCAGCGGCGGACGGGUGAGUAACACGUGGGCAACCUGCCUGUAAGACUGGGAUAACUCCGGGAAACCGGGGCUAAUACCGGAUAACUCUUUCCCUCACAUGAGGGAAAGCUGAAAGAUGGCAUCUCGCUAUCACUUACAGAUGGGCCCGCGGCGCAUUAGCUAGUUGGUGAGGUAACGGCUCACCAAGGCGACGAUGCGUAGCCGACCUGAGAGGGUGAUCGGCCACACUGGGAGUGAGACACGGCCCAGACUCCUACGGGAGGCAGCAGUAGGGAAUCUUCCGCGAUGGACGAAAGUCUGACGGAGCAACGCCGCGUGAGUGAUGAAGGUUUUCGGAUCGUAAAACUCUGUUGUCAGGGAAGAACAAGUACCGGAGUAACUGCCGGUACCGUGACGGUACCAGACCAGAAAGCCACGGCUAACUACG
rnacentral:rRNA from 1 species